CUAAUAUAUCCCAACAGCAUCAUUUCAACAUGCAAUCUAUACAUAAAAUGCAUUCAGAUUCUCUACAUUCUUUUUCAUGCAGCGCCUUCAAAAUCCAGGCCGUCUCAUACCCACAGCAUUUCCCCGACUGCUGCGUGCUAGUGCUGGACCGUGAGUGACCAGAGAAACCACUGCAUUAAAAUAUGGGGGUCACUCCCCCUGCAGUGUGUGUGUGGGGAGCAGGAGGCAGUGGGGGUCAUUCCCCCUGCAGUGUUGGGGGAGGAGAAGGCAGUGGGGGUCAUUCCCCCUGCAGUGUGUGGGGAAGGAGGAGACAGUGGGGGUCAUUCCCCCUGCAGUGUGGGGGGAGGAGAAGACAGUGGGGGUCAUUCCCCCUGCAGUGUGGGGGGAGGAGAAGACAGUGGGGGUCAUUCCCCCUGCAGUGUGUUGGGAGGAGGAGGCAGUGGGGGUCAUUCCCCCUGCAGUGUGUUGGGAGGAGAAGACAGUGGGGGUCAUUCCCCCUGCAGUGUGUUGGGAGGAGAAGACAGUGGGGGUCAUUCCCCCUGCAGUGUGUUGGGAGGAGGAGGCAGUGGGGGUCAUUCCCCCUGCAGUGUUGGGGGAGGAGAAGAAGGCAGUGGGGGUCAUUCCCCCAGCACUGUGCGGGGAGGAGGAGGCAGGACUGUGCUCGCCCCUCCCCUUCCUGGUUCAGGUCCUGCUCCUGGGACUCAGCGCUGCGCCUCUGGGAAGGGCCGGUCCAGGAGCUCCGCAAGUUGCGGGAGAACCUGGCGGGUCCGUGGUCCAGCGAGGCCUGGGAUUCAGAAGGGAUGAAACGUUCCUCGACGCUUGAACACCGGCCUCCUGCCCCUGGGUCUUCCUGCUAUUUCUUCCUGCCCCUCGCUCCCGCCUCGAGCCACCCCCUCGUGCUCCCCAACGCCCGCUCCUGUGCUGGUCACUGGGGGCAGUGAGAGGAGGCCAGAAGCAGAGGCGAUGCCGGCGGGGAGCGGGCGGUGGGGGGGCUUCUGGGAGCGACGGACCCGGCAGCUGCAGAGCCCAGUGCGGCUGAGUGGGGGGAGGGAGGAGGGACCCCCCUCAGAGGCUCCACGCGGAGGCCUGGGAGAAUCGGGUGGGCUGGAGGCUUUCACUGGAUGGUAGCCAGCUUUGGACGCAAACGUCCCACGUGACCUGUCCCCUCUCGUCUAGGCUUCCAGGACCUAGGGGUGGUGGACCUGCUCUGUCCUCCCACCCCUGGACUUCCCUGGUGAUCUCCUCUCCCCUCCCACCAGGGACCUCCUACCCCCUUCCCCCUCCCCCCUCCCACACCGGAGCCUUCUCUCCCCUCCCACCCGGGACCUCUUCUCCCCUCCCACCCGGGGCCUCCUCUCCCCUCCCACCCGGGACCUCUUCUCCCCCCCAUCCGGGGCCUGCUGUCCCCUCCCACCCGGGACCUCUUCUCCCCUCCCAUCCGGGGCCUCCUCUCCCCUCCCACCCGGGACCUCUUCUCCCCUCCCAUCCGGGGCCUCCUCUCCCCUCCCACCCGGGACCUCUUCUCCCCUCCCAUCCGGGGCCUCCUCUCCCCUCCCACCCGGGACCUCUUCUCCCCUCCCAUCCGGGGCCUCCUCUCCCCUCCCACCCGGGACCUCUUCUCCCCUCCCAUCCGGGGCCUCCUCUCCCCUCCCACCCGGGACCUCUUCUCCCCUCCCAUCCGGGGCCUGCUGUCCCCUCCCACCCGGGACCUCUUCUCCCCUCCCAUCCGGGGCCUCCUCUCCCCUCCCAUCCGGAACCUCUUCUCCCCUCCCAUCCGGGGCCUCCUCUCCCCUCCCACCCGGGACCUCUUCUCCCCUCCCAUCCGGGGCCUCCUCUCCCCUCCCACCCGGGGCCUCCGCGGCUUUUAAAACUGUCUGCUGUGUGCUGUGCACGUGCUGGGAGCACAGUAGCGAAGCCGGGACAGAUAAAGUUCUUCUAGUCACUGCCCUCUUGGAGUAUACCGUUGAAUCCGGGAAGUAGAUCAAUGAAAUAAACACAGAAUGGUUGUAAAAUACAGAACGCUGGGAAGUGGAGGUGCGUGGUCUUACCCGUGUUUAUAAUUCAGCCGUCGCCUAACCUGAGAAAUCAAGGAUUUCUGCGUCGUGCGCGUGCCCGCUGAGCUGAGCUCUGCUGGGAUGGGGAGUCCUUCUCCGGCUGGAGGCUGAGGGCAGGAGCUCUCGGUGAGAGGCUGCGGCCAGCGGUGCUGUGAGCCGGGCGGGGGUCAGCGCGGGCGGCCGGGGCGAGGCUGACAGCACAGCAGGGGCCGAGCUCCCCCGGGUCAGGCGGGACCAGGAAGGGAUCAUCCUUCUUUUGAGGGCACGGAGCCACCGUCGGAGGGC
rnacentral:lncRNA from 1 species